rnacentral:rRNA from 1 species
GUCAUCCCUUAUAACCCGUUACCCGCUUUCGGACUGGGUCGCUGCGGCGCACUCCCUACUUCCAGAAGCCUAACAUUUGGAGAAAGUCAUCCCUUCUUCGCUUUCACUGCCAUGGAUUUCUUCUUCGUGGCCGAUUGAUACACGGUCGUCGGCGCCAUUA